AGCUGAGAGGACUAUGCUGCUGAGGCAUGACAUCAAUGUCGAUGGGACACACCUGUAGCCCUGACGCCCCACAGCCUGUCCAGGAGGCACUGUUCCCGUCCACUCCACGCCUACCAGUUAGUUCACUGGUCUUCACCAUUAGUGAUUUAAGGAGCAUGCAAUGGUGGGAGAGUCAACCCUGGGACCCCUUCCAUCACAGAGGGAGAACUGUGGUGUUGUGUCCACAGGCCAAUGAUUUCUUCUAUAAACAUCUUCUUUGCAUGUCUGUGGUGAGACUUGAAGUAAUGUGUUGUUGUUUAGGGCCAUCCUCAGAGCCAAACUGCCUCCAUCUUCAUCAGAUCAGCUGUGCCUGUUUGCAAGAGAUCAGCAUGGCUGGCCUUGUUGACCUUUGACCUUCUUUUAUAUAAGGGGUACAGAGUUGUGGGAUCCUGAGUAUCCAGCCACCCCUCCCAACCAGUUGUGUGAAGCCUAAUGAAAUUCUAAUUGCUUGACGCCUCAGGGAGCGCGUGACAGCUGAUCUUGGCUGUCAACUUGAAUAUACCUAUAAUCAACUAUAACCCAAGCGGCUGGUCUCUGAGGAGUUUUCAAGACGGAAUCAUUUGUGAUCAGAAGACUCAGAUGCUAAAUCUGGGCCACACCUUCUGCUGGCAGCCCACAUAAAAGGCCAUGGAAGAAGGAAGCUUUUGCUUUUUGCCUGCUUGCCCUCACUCUUGCUGGCAAGUUCAUCUGUCCUGCUGCUGUGGCAUUCUUUCACUGGUGUUACAUCCUACUUCUUUGUGAUUGAGGACCAGCUAAGAUAUCCAGCCACGUGGACUGAACUAGAUUCUUGGCCUUUCUGUGAAGAGACAGACAGCCAUUGUUGGACUGG